rnacentral:rRNA from 1 species
UGGGGAAUAUUGGACAAUGGGCGCAAGCCUGAUCCAGCCAUGCCGCGUGAGUGAUGAAGGCCUUAGGGUUGUAAAGCUCUUUCGCCGGUGAAGAUAAUGACGGUAACCGGAGAAGAAGCCCCGGCUAACUUCGUGCCAGCAGCCGCGGUAAUACGAAGGGGGCUAGCGUUGCUCGGAAUCACUGGGCGUAAAGCGCACGUAGGCGGAUCGUUAAGUCAGGGGUGAAAUCCUGGAGCUCAACUCCAGAACUGCCCUUGAUACUGGCGAUCUCGAGUUCGAGAGAGGUUGGUGGAACUCCGAGUGUAGAGGUGAAAUUCGUAGAUAUUCGGAAGAACACCAGUGGCGAAGGCGGCCAACUGGCUCGAUACUGACGCUGAGGUGCGAAAGCGUGGGGAGCAAAACAGGAUUAGAUACCCUGGUAGUCCACGCCGUAAAACGAUGGAUGCUAGCCGUUGGGGGGUUUACCUCUCAGUGGCGCAGCUAACGCCUUAAGCAUCCCGCCUGGGGAGUACGGUCGCAAGAUUAAAAACUCAAAGGAAUUGACGGGGUCAUAGCUGUUUCCU